rnacentral:lncRNA from 1 species
UCACAUCAAGGGACAUUUUUUUCUUGUGUGUUAAUAUCAAUCCUGUAUUUAUAUUUAUAGAACAUAAAAUUGCAGCAUUUUAAACUUAUAAUUGUUUUGGUGAAUAAAAAAAGCUUUUGAGUUUGAAUUUACUCAUAUGAGAGCUAAAAACUUUUACAAUACAUCCCCCCAAGAAAGUAACACCUUAUAUGUGUGUAUAUCUCUGUAAUAUUGCCUGUCUUCCAAACUCCUCAACAAUUCAACUCUCAGCCAUCUUUCAUUUUGAAACACAGGUUGUUUUGGUAGAAUUUACAUAAAAUAAAAUUUACGCAAACUCCAGCAGAUCUGUAGCAGAGGGGCCUGUUAGAAGGAAAACUGACAAACAGGGAUAGCAUCAAUAUCAACAAAAAGGACGUCCACUCAGAGACCCCAUCUGAAAGUCACCAACAUCAAAGACCAAAGGUAGAUAAAUCCACUAAGAUAGUGAGAAACCAGUGCAAAAAGGCUGAAAAUUCCAAAAGCCAGAACACCUCAUCUCCUCCAAAGGAUCACAACUUCUGGCCAGCAAGGGAACAAAACUGGAUGGAGAAUGAGUUUGACAAAUUGACAGAAGUAGGUUUCAGAAGGUGGGUGAUAACAAACUCCUCCGAGCUAAAGGAGCAUGUUUAACCCAAUGCAAGGAAGCUAAGAACCUGGAAAAAAGGUUAGACAAAUUGCUAACUAGAAUAACCAGUUUAGAGAAGAACAUAAAUGACCUGAUCGAGCUGAAACACAGCAUUAAAACAUCCUGAUGCAUAAACAAGUAUCAAUAGCUGAAUCAAUCAAGCAGAAGAAAGCAUCUCAGACAUUGAAGAUCAACUUAAUGAAAUAAAGUGAGAAGACAAUAUUAAAGAAAAAAGAAUAAAAAGGAAUGAACAAAGCCUCCAAGAAAUAUGGGACUAUGUGGAAAAAAACUAAAUCCACAUUUAAUUGUUGUACCUGAAAGUGACGGGGAGAAUGGAAUCAAAUUGGAAAACACUCUUAAGGAUAUUAUCCAGGAGAACUUCACCAACCUAGCAAGGCAGGCCAACAUUCAAAUUCAGAAAAUACAGAGAACACCACAAAGAUACUCCUCAAGAAGAGCAACCCCAAGACACAUAAUUGUCAGAUUCACCAAGAUUGAAAUGAAGGAAAAAUUAUUAAGGGCAGCCAGAGAGAAAGGUCGGGUUACCCACAAAGGAAAGCCCCUCAGACUAACAGGAGAUCUCUCAGCAGAAAACUUACAAGCCAGAAGAGAGUGGGUGCCAAUAUUCAACAUUGUUAAAGAAAAGAUUUUCAACCCAGAAUUUCAUAUCCAGCCAAACUAAGCUUCAUAAGUGAGGGAGAAAUAAAAUCCUUUACAAACAAGCAAAUGCUGAAAGAUUUUGUCACCACCAGGCCUGCCUUACCAGAGCUCCUGGAGGAAGCACUAAACAUGCAAAGGAACAACUGGUACCAGUCACUGCGAAAACAUACCAAAUUAUAAAGACCGUCGACAUUAUGAAAAAACUGCAUCAAUUAACAUGUAAAAUAACCAGCUAGUGUCAUAAUGACAGGUUCAAAUUCCCAAAUAACAAUAUUAACCUUAAAUGUAAAUGGCUUAAAUGUCCCAAUUAAAAGACAUAGACCGGCAAACUGGAUAAAGAGUCAAGACCCAUCAGUGUGCUGUAUUAAGGAGAUCCAGCUCAUAUGCAAAGACACACAUAGGCUCAAAAUACAGGGAUAGAAAAAGAUUUACCAAACGAAUGGAAAGCAAAAAAAAAGCUACGGUUGUAUUCUUAGUCUCUGGUAAAACAGACUUUAAACCAACAAAGAUCAAAAGAGAAAAAGAAGGGCAUUACAUAUUGGUAAAGGGACCAAUGCAGCAAGAAGAGCUAACCAUACUAAAUAUGUAUGCACCAAAUACUGGAGCACACAGAUUCAUAAAGCAACUUCUUAGAGACCUACAAAGAGGCUUAGAAUCCCACACAAUAAUAAUGGGAGACUUUAACACCCCAUUGGCAAUAUUAGACAGAUCAAUGAGACAGAAAAUUAACAAGGAUAUCCAGGACUUGAACUCAGCUCUGGACCAAGCAGAACUAAUAGACAUCUACAGAACUCUCCACCCCAAAUCAACAGAAUAUACAUUCUUCUCAGCACCUCAUCACACUUAUUCUAAAAUUGAGCACAUAAUUGGAAGUAAAACAUGCCUCAGCAAAUGCAAAAGAAUGGAAAUCACAACAGUCUCUCAGACCACAGUACAAUCAAAGUAGAACUCAGGAUUAAGAAACUCACUCAGAACAGCAAACAACAUGGAAACUGAACAAUGUGCUCCUGAAUGACUACUGGGUAAAUAACAAAAUAAAGACAGAAAUAAAGAUGUUCCUUGAAACCAAUAAGAACAAAGACACAAUGUACAAGAAUCUCUAGGACACAUUUAAAAGAGUGUUUAGAGGGAAAUUUAUAGCACUACAUGCCCACAAGAGAAAGCAGAAAAUAUCUAAAAUUGACACACUAACAUCACAAUUAAAAGAACUAGAGAAGGAAGAACAAACAAAUUCAAAAGCAGCAGAUGACAAGAAAUAACUAAGAUCAGAGCAGAACUGAAGAAGAUAGAGCCAUGAAAAAUACUUCAAAAAAUCAAUGAAUCCAAGAGUUGGUUUUUUGAAAAGAUCAACAAAAUAGACUGCUAGCCAGACUAAUAGAGAAGAAAAGAGAGAAGAAUCAAAUAGGCACAAUAAAAAAUGAUAAAGGGGAUAUAACCACUGAUCCCACAGAAAUACAAACUACCACCAGAGGAUACUAUAAACACGUCUAUGCAAAUAAACUAGAAAAUCUAGAAGAAAUGGAUAAAUUCCUGGACACCUACACCCUCCCAAGUCUAAACCAGGAAGAAGUCGAAUCCCUGAAUAGACCAAUAAAAAGUUCUGAGAUGGAGGCAGUAAUUAACAGCCUACCACCAAAAAAAAAUCCUGGACCAGACAGAUUCACAGCUGAUUUUUAUGAGGGAUACAAAGAGGAGCUGGUACCAUUCCUUCUGAAACUAUUCCAAACAAUAGAGAAAGAGAGAAUCCUUUCUAACUCAUUUUAUGAGGCCAGCAUCAUCCUGAUACCAAAAGCUGGCAGAGACACACACAAAAAAGAAAAUUUCAGGUCAAUAUCCCUGAUGAACAUCGAUGCAAAAAUCCUCAAUAAAAUACUGGCAAACCAAAUCCAGCAGCACAUCAAAAAGCUUACGCACCAUGAUCAAGUUGGCUUCAUCCCUGGGAUGCAAGGCUGGUUCAGCAUACUCAAAUCAAUAAACGUAAUUGAUCACAGAAACAGAACCAAUGACAAAAACCACAUGAUUAUCUAAAUAGAUGCAGAAAAGGCCUUCGACAAAAUUCAACAACGCUUCAUGGUGAAAGCUCUCAAUAAACUAGGUAUUGAUGGAACAGAUCUCAAAAUAAUAAGACCUAUUUAUGACAAACCCACAGCCAAUAUCAUACUGAAUGUGCAAAAACUGGAAGCAUUCCUUUUGAAAACUGGCACAAGACAAGGAUGUCCUCUCUCACCACUCCUAUUCAACACAGUAUUGGAAGUUUUGGCUAGGGCAAUCAGGCAAGAGAAAGAAAUAAAAUGUAUUCAAAUAGGAAGAGAGGAAGUCAAAUUGUCUCUGUUUGCAGAUGACAUGAUUGUAUAUUUAGAAAACCCCAACAUCUCAGCCCAAAAUCUCCUUAAUCUGAUAAGCAACUUCAGCAAAGUCUCAGGAUACAAAAUCAAUGUACCAAAAUUACAAGCAUUCCUAUACACCAAUAACAGACAAAUAGCCAAAUCAUGAGUGUACUCCCAUUCAGAAUUGCUACAAAGGCAAUAAAAUACCUAGGAAUGCAACUCACAAGGGAUGUGAAGGACCUCUUCAAGGAGAACUACAAACCACUGCUCAAGGAAAUAAAAGAGGACGCAAAUAAAUGGAAAAACGUUCUAUGCUUA